UGGGCACAGCGUCACGAAGGAAGUAGAAGCACAAUACAGAGAAUACUUCAGACUAAGCACUCUUACUCCUGAUAGUUCUGUUUUGUGUCAUAUGUGUUUCUUUGAAAUGCAGCGUCACGAGAACAACACCGUUCUUAAGAGCAAGAUUCUUUGGCAUUGUAGUCACAAGCACACAAUAGGUCUUCCAUGCGAAUUUGAGGGAUGCAAAGUUCGAGUGCCCACUGCGCGUGACCUUGAACUCCAUAGACACUUCUGUCAUGCUCGUCUUCCCUAGAGAUUCUCAUCAGUAUGGUUUAAUUCUUGUCUAAACUGAGCAAAUGCUGACUUCUGUCCAGAUCUUCUUCAAUAUGGUGUAGUUGCUGUCUGGGCUGAAUAAGUGUUGUCCAAGUACUCCUGAAGCUUGGAGGAGGGUGAUGACUAAUGACUGAAGAGGUUUAUAAAGAUGCAAAGCAAUGUGCUUACUAGCUGAUGUAUGAUCGAGGAGGGUGGAGGCUCCCAGUUUCUGUAGUUUAAACCUUUAGGUGAAUCGCUAGUGAUCCCUAGAGCUUCAGCCUCGCGCUGGAUUACUGAAGCAUUUAAACUGUAUCCUGACAGUGAUGCUUCUGGAGCUAACAUUUGUUUCCCUGAGCUACAUGAGGAUAUUCAUUCUUUCUAUCUAUUGGUGGCAUGCUGAAUCUGUAAACUUCUAGGGGUCUAGCUAGCUCUCUGUCUCUUUGCACAUCACUGUUACUAUCUGUAGAUAAUAUUUCAUAAUGUCUGCACAUGGUAUUAUAUGGUUGUCAGAGUGCAAUUCUAUCGUAACUUUCAUGAUCGAAAUUGUGGUAUAAGUGUAGACUCAUCUGUCUGUUUCUUAGGUAAAUAUAUACUAAUGGAUGAUAAGGUUAAUUCUUUACAGGAGAGAUGUCAAAAGUUACAUGCUGAAUUUUGUAUUGCAGUUGAGAUUAGCAUUUCCACUUGGAACUUCUUUGCAGUUCAUCAUUUCAAGCUAGCUAAAGUACCACAGCAUGGGAAUAACAAACGAAUUCAUGAAUGCUCAACAAUUUCUUGACUGACACGAGCUCAAAUGCUAGCUAGCUUUUCUGAGCUACAAUGAUCAGGUUUACUUAUGAAUGAGCUCAAACGCUAGCUUUCAAGAAAUAAAACGAUCAGGUUUGGUUCUUUUCUUUUGCUAAAAUAUUGGAUCUAUGUAAUCUAUAUAGUAUGUACAUCUGGCUACCAGAAAGUUUUCUGCGUCCCUGUAACUUUCUUUGAAUCAUAUGAAAUCAAAUUUAUAUAUAUAUGUGUGGUAUGCAGUCAAACAGUUUGUGGAUGCAAGGAUUGUGUAUGUAUAAAAAUGAUGCAUUGUGUUCUUCAGACCCAAAUGUAUCCGGCGCAACAGAUGCUAACUAGCACAAAUUUGUGGGGAGGGGACAACCUGAAAAUCAUUGGCAAAAGUUGAUCUGGAAAAGGAUGAUGAU